UACGUAGGGGGCGAGCGUUGUCCGAAGUUACUGGGCGUAAAGGGCGCGUAGGCGGCUUGGCAAGUGGAAGGUGAAAUCCCUCGGCUUAACCGAGGAACUGCCCUCCAAACUGCUUCGCUUGAGACCGGGAGAGGUGAGUGGAAUUCCCAGUGUAGCGGUGAAAUGCGUAGAUAUUGGGAGGAACACCAGUGGCGAAGGCGGCUCACUGGACCGGUACUGACGCUGAUGCGCGAAAGCGUGGGGAGCAAACGGG
rnacentral:rRNA from 1 species